rnacentral:rRNA from 1 species
AUUGAACGCUGGCGGCGUGCUUAACACCUGCAAGUCGAGCGGUAACAGGUGUGGCAAUACAUGCUGACGAGCGGCGAACGGGUGAGUAAUGCUUCGGAAUCUUCCUAGUAGUGGGGAAUAACCUGGGUACACCAAGGCUAAUACCGCAUACGAACUACGGCUGAAAGGAGGGGAUCGCAAGACCUAGCGCUAUUAGAUGAGCCGAAGUCGGAUUAGCUAGUUGGUGAGGUAGCGGCACACCAAGGCGACGAUCCGUAGCUGGUCUGAGAGGACGACCAGCCACACUGGGACUGAGACACGGCCCAGACUCCUACGGGAGGCAGCAGUGGGGAAUAUUGGACAAUGGGGGCAACCCUGAUCCAGCGACGCCGCGUGUGUGAAGAAGGCCUGCGGGUUGUAAAGCACUUUUAGUGGGGACAAAAAGCCGAGGGCUAAUACUCUGCGGUCUUGAUUUAACCCAAAGAAAAAGCACCGGCUAACUCUGUGCCAGCCGCCGCGGUAA